GAAAACCAAGCGUAGAAUAUCAGGCAACCGGCGGCAGCUUAUUUCUACUGUCUUAGCUGAUGGGAUUUGGGAAUAGAGGAAUCGUUGCUGACAAAUGGUCAGGGAGGCUUUUAUGGGUCUGUGCAAUUGGAAGUGCAAUUGGUUUCUAUAUGGUUGCUGUGGAAAGACAAACUCAGAAUAGAGCAAAAAUGAUGGCUGAAGCACUGGCUGAUGCAGGAUCAAGUAUAGAUGCCAGUGAGAAAAGUUGAAUAUUAUGGGAUUUGUGAUAAUGCUUAUACGUUUCCAUUAGAGGUCUUUUUCUUAUCGUUUGACAGUACUCUGGAAACUAUUUUGAUGUAUUAAGUACUUGUGAUAUUCGUAAAUGAAAAGACAUUGCUGAACUAGACAUGCUCAUUUCUGUAAUUACUAAUCUGAAA
rnacentral:misc_RNA from 1 species